GCCGGGUGUGGUGGCACGCACCUGUAAUCCUAGCUACUAGGGAGGCUGAGGCAGGAGAAUCGCUCGAACCCAGGAGGCGAAGCUUGCAGUGAGCCAACAUCAUCAUGCCACUGCACUCCAGCCUGGGUAACAGAGUGAGACUCUGUCUCAA
rnacentral:SRP_RNA from 1 species